CAUAUAACGAAGGGACCGCUGACUCACGUUCGCGCCAAAUUAUCUUCUAGUUUUCGCAGCGCCCUCACCGGGAGGCAUACAUCGAACUUCCUGUUAUCGGAAAUAGCAUGGCGAGCAUCAUAGAGAGUGAAGAUCUGCAUGAUUUGAGCGCGUUGUUCAAAGCUGAGGAUUUUGAUGCCGAAGGUCCACCUGAACAGCUAUCUGUUGUUAGUACAAAUCAAUCAGAGGAGAGGGUUACUGAGGCAUUGAUUGAGGGUGUCAUUUAUGAUCUAAAAUGUGACGAGAUGUUGCCAGAGCACAUUAAACAAAUGCUCGUGUCCGUGCAUGGAAACAUAUUUGCAAAUGUAAAUAUUGGAUAUUUAGGGGAAUUCACUCACCUGAACUGGUGAACAGUGGGGUUAUCAUGUCGAGCCCCCAGUCCCCUGUGUCUCCCGAAAUGUUCCUCAAGAGGGUCUUGACAAAACACCUGGCUCAAGAUGUAUGGCACACCUUGCCUCAAAAGAUAUUUUGUACUUUCGACAAAGGCAUUGACUGCAAGGUAAAAAUUUAUUUAUGAAUUUUGCUUGGUUAUAAAAUAUUCACACCAGGAGAUUCAUUUCUCCUUAGAAUAUAUAGUAUAUACAAAUAUGUAUGUAUUAUUGUUUUGAUGUAAGAAUAAUCCACUAAUUUAUUAUCUGUAAAUUGACUUACCUGUCAUGAUGAUUCCUUCAAUUGUCUGAUGUGAAAGGACCAUCUUGUUUCUCUCCUGCUUUGUAAAUCCUGGCCUUGCUGUGACUGAGGCCUGCCAGUUACUGAAAUAGUCCAGGAAUUCGCCUCUCAAAAACUAGAAGAAAUAACAAAAUUAUGGUUUGUGUACCAUGAAAUAUUCCUUCUCGGCCAAAAUUUGAAAAAAAUCAUCAUAAUAAUAUAUGAUAAUAUUUUCAUACUAUUAAAUGAACAUUGUUUGAACCCAGAGGUAUUUAUAAAUAUUGAAGAAAUUGUGCAGUAUAAAUAUAUUGGACAGACUAUACAGUCUAUGUGUACUUAUCAUACUCAUAGUGUUAGAGUGACUCUUUGUCUUUAUUAAUACCUCAAACCUGGGAUCAUCAGCCUGCUUGUAUGGAGCAAGGUCAGGUUUCCGUGUACGUAUGGCCUCAUGUAGUGACCGCCCAUUCAAACAAUCAAAAAACCUGUCCACCAGUUGGAAGAAUUUGGAGGUCUCUGCCAUCUCUGGGCCAUAAUAGGCAGACAUUAUUCUACCAACAGACCUGCUUAACACCUAGAGCUGCUGCUAGAGCAUGUUGGGAAAUGUGUACCUGUGCUGCCAGACGGACAUUCAUGGUCGAUGAAGGAGUGAGAUAAACAUGGUCAUACUUAAGCUUGGUCCUGUACAACUGUCCUUGCAUGUCAUCGUUAUAAACUGUCUCAACAUGCGACCAUAAAAUGUUUGAGUUGGUAUUCUAAAAUAGUUUGUAUUAGAAGAAUGAAUAACCAUAGGAAGGUGAUAGUUGCAUAAUUGUGAAUUUUUUAUUAUUGGACUGUACACAUUUAUUUCAAUUGCUCACCCACAGAUAUUUGGUGCCACCUGGACGAGACUUGUGGACAUUGUUUCUUAUGGUUUUAAUGAGGUGUGGAACAUCAGAAAAGAAAUAGAUAUUUCUUUUUUCUUCGGAAAAAGGAUUGUCAGCAAAGAACACCACAUCUUCAUUCCCUGUUCUGUGCAGCCUGUAAAGCCUCUGAUUCGGAGACGCUUUGUCGCUGGUGGAUGAGAUCACCUAAAUAAAUUGAACCUUCAAUCCACAAGUUAUCUCGAGGUAGGCCACAGCUUUCCAAAGAAAGGGGAACAACUCAUCAGCAGUUGAAGAUCUUGUCGGGAAAUGCCCAAUGCUCAUUUUGAUGUUGGAAUUAAUCCCAAUCACCAUGAAAACCAAGACAUGGGUGGCAAUUCGUUUUGUUUCAUCCUACAUAUAAGGUUUUUUGGAAAUGGAAUUAAGCAGUUAAAGUGAAAAUAAGAAGAUCAAAGAAGGAUAUGAACAGAGGAAAAGUUAUACAUGCCAUCAUGAUUUUAUUAACAAUAUGUUUCAAAACUUUUUAAGUGUAUAAACCUCAUCAAAUGUCCAGGUCUCUGGGUUGGUGAAUCCUAUAACUUGCUCACUUCUCCUGUCAUAUACAAGAUCCGACUUGACCUUCAUUUCAUCAUGUAGGAGACACACAUACUUCUUCUCUGAUGGCAAGUCCUUGGCAACUUUUUUUAAUUCCUUUAUCCAAAUAGUUUAUUAAAAGAUCAAUCUAAAUUACACUGAACAUCUUUUCUAGGCCAUUUAGAAAUAUUUAUUUUACUAAAACAAAAACAAUUUUAUGUAAGCCAGUACAUCAUAUUAAUCUGAGAAUGAUAUUCACCUGAAAAGCCUCAGCCUGAAAACCAGAUUUAGGCUGGAUGAAAUUAGUGUAGUCGCGAAGAGUAGCUUGAUUUGGUAGUCGAAGGACUCCACUUUCUCUCAAUGACUCAUAUGCUCUGGGACUUUGGCAACGGAGAUAAAUGGCAAAACGGAUCAUCAUCGGAUGCCAUCUCAUUCCUAAUAAUGAUUAACGAAAAGGUCCAUGAGAGCGUUGCCAGAUUUACAACUUUGAAGAGUUGCAAAAAGGCCCUCUCCAACAUCAUCAGCAACGGAAGCUGUCUCACCUUUAAAACAUUAUUUUACCUCUACUCAAAGAUUCUACAAGACUCUGAAGCUUUCUGUUCUCUUCUCGGAUGACUUUGAAAUGUUUGAUGAGAGUUGUUUGUGGGACAUGUUUCAAAGGGGUUUUAGGAUGAAGCAUAUUGGGAGAAGCAUUUUCCUGUGCAUUCAGUGAGGAUUCAAGCUUAGAACAAGGACCACAUAAUGCGUUGCCCUGAACUCCUCCUAAGCAACCAUUGGCACGAAUCACACUUUUGUUGGAUGGUUUUCCAUUAAUGACGUGGGUGGAAAAAAAGCGGUAUCCCUGCGAACUUUUGAUAGUGACAUCUGGGCUGUCUUUAAUCCCAGCGCAUUUAGUUAUUUUGUCUACAGCCUCCAAAAAUUUGUUGACACGCAUUUUCUCCACUGAGUUCUCGAAUCCUUGGACCACCACCUCUGUUUUUGGAAAAAAUUGUUAACUUGAAACCAGUCCUUGGCUGCGUUUAACUAAAGGAUUGCAACUUAUGGCCACAUUAAUGAAUGCUUAUUAAUCAGGAACUAAUAAUUUUUUUACAAAAUAUGAUUUUUAUGGAAAUCAAAAUAAUUGUAAAUAUUAGGCCAUCCUUAAAAAAAAGUUUGCUUGGAAUUGCCACCUGGAAGUUUCUAGAUAGAAGAAUGGAGGAAUAGAAAAAUAGAUUAAUUUUCUAAAUCUAAAGUUUAACUAAUUAAAAAUCGAUAAAAAAAUAAAAAUCUCCAUAUACAUGUAUUAAUAAAAAAAUCCUUAUUUUUUGGUAGUAAAUUUAUCAGUAAGGGGCAUUUGAAUGAGAUGGGAGGCAAAUCCAACAAACAAUUUUUUGGGGGCCUUUAAUUGUUUUUCAUAAUUUUUUUUUUAAAGAUAUUUCAUCAGACUGAAAAUAUCUAUGACUUUGUCGUAAGUUCUUUUGUAAAACCCAGUGGUGUUAUUUACAAUAAAUACAUGUACUGUAUAA